rnacentral:misc_RNA from 1 species
GAUGAAGAACGUAGCGAAAUGCGAUACUUGGUGUGAAUUGCAGAAUCCCGUGAACCAUCGAGUCUUUGAACGCAAGUUGCGCCCGAAGCCAUUAGGCCGAGGGCACGCCUGCCUGGGCGUCACACGUCGUUGCCCCCCCAUCUACUCCUUCGGGAUUGCGGGGGGCGGAUGAUGGCCUCCCGUGCGCCUCGUCGCGCGGUUGGCAUAAAUGCCAAGUCCUCGGCGACGCACGCCACGACAAUCGGUGGUUGCGAAACCUCGGUUGCCCGUCGUGUGCGGUCGUCGCGCAUCGAGGGCUCGAAAAAAUUGCCGGGCUCCGGCUCGGCUUUCAACGCGACCCCAGGUCAGGCGGGGUUACCCGCUGAAUUUCAGCAUAUCAAUAAGCGGAGGA